rnacentral:rRNA from 1 species
UACGUAGGGUGCGAGCGUUAAUCGGAAUUACUGGGCGUAAAGCGUGCGCAGGCGGUCUUGUAAGUCAGAUGUGAAAUCCCCGGGCUUAACCUGGGAACUGCGUCGGAUACUGGAUGGCUUGAAUUCGGGAGAGGGAUGCAGAAUUCCAGGUGUAGCGGUGAAAUGCGUAGAUAUCUGGAGGAAUACCGGUGGCGAAGGCGGCAUCCUGGACCGACAUUGACGCUGAUGAGCGAAAGCUAGGGGAGCAAACGGG